CAGCAGCCGCGGGAAUACGUAGGGUGCAAGCGUUAAUCGGAAUUACUGGGCGUAAAGCGUGCGCAAGCGGUUAUAUAAGACAGAUGUGAAAUCCCCGGGCUCAACCUGGGAACUGCAUUUGUGACUGUAUAGCUAGAGUACGGCAGAGGGGGAUGGAAUUCCGCGUGUAGCAGUGAAAUGCGUAGAUAUGCGGAGGAACACCGAUGGCGAAGGCAAUCCCCUGGGCCUGUACUGACGCUCAUGCACGAAAGCGUGGGGAGCAAACAGGAUUAGAUACCCCAGUAGUCCCUGUCUCUUAUAC
rnacentral:rRNA from 1 species